rnacentral:rRNA from 1 species
AUACGGAGGAUGCGAGCGUUAUCCCGAUUUAUUGGGUUUAAAGGGAGCGUAGGUGGGAUAUUAAGUCAGCUGUGAAAGUUUGGGGCUCAACCUUAAAAUUGCAGUUGAUACUGGUUUCCUUGAGUACGGUACAGGUGGGCGGAAUUCGUGGUGUAGCGGUGAAAUGCUUAGAUAUCACGAAGAACUCCGAUCGCGAAGGCAGCUCACCGGGCCGGAACUGACACUGAUGCUCGAAAGUGCGGGUAUCAAACAGGAUUAGAUACCCUGGUAGUCCGCACAGUAAACGAUGAAUACUCGCUGUUUGCGAUACACGGUAAGCGGCCAAGCGAAAGCGUUAAGUAUUCCACCUGGGGAGUACGCCGGCAACGGUGAAACUUAAAGGAAUUGACGGGG